UGAAUGGCACUAUCUGUUGCAGUAUUUUAGGACUACAAAAUUCCAGAGCAUACAAAAUUAUGGGAUUCGAGCCCAACAAAGGACCAGACAUUUGUCAGGCUCUAAGCCUUAUGCUCAGCGCAGCUAUGAGAAGAGACCCAGAAACUGGAGAUGAGCCCAACAAU